rnacentral:rRNA from 1 species
UACGAAGGGUGCAAGAAACUAUUAUUGGUAUGUGGUUAAUUUUUUCUAGGAGAGGUUAAACAAAUUGAUUUGUUAGGUGAAAUUUUAUAUUUUUGAAUAGUCCUUUUAAUUGAAUUCAAUGAAGCUAUGAAAAUUAGAUGAAAAACUG